rnacentral:tRNA from 1 species
GCCCUCGUAGCUCAGUUGAUAGAGCAUGCGCUGUACAAAAGUGAAGGCGACGUCCAUGCGUAGGUUCGAAUCCCACCAAGGCUA